UCCACGUGAUGUUCUCUAAAUAGCUCUCGUUGCCUGCAACUUCACCUUUUAGGGGAAAAGAAAAACCGCCUCAGCUCACUGAUCGAAUACCCCUCAGGCCCUCACCACCACUCAUCUCCUGUUAAAGAAUCUCAGAUCUAAUCUCCUCUCAUUGGAAUUAUCUUGUUCGGCAUGCCAAUGGUUAUUUGUCAUCUUCUACCUUGUCGGUCUUGUGAAAGUUGCAAUUGAGGACAUUUUGAGCUUGGAAUGGGACUUUUAGAUGGGCUCCAUGUCCCUUCUGACAAAGUUGUCGCCCAAAAUAAAAUAAAAAAGGCGCAACAAGAGAACAAACAGAGCAAGGUGUAGGAAAAUUUCGGACUUCAGCUUUAAUCAGGUGGAUAAAAAGCACAGUGCGAGUCAGGGAUGAUAGAGUAUUUUGUGAAGAUCGUUCAACGUGAUAAGGAGCAACAUGAAUGAAGGCCGGGACACUCGAGCUUCAUCAUAUCACCUACUAUCACAGUUAGAUCCUAGUUUUCUAGGCUUUAUUACUUCUUCGGUUUAGUAACAUAGAUAUAAUUUCGGAGGUUUGAUGUCUGGACUAUUUAGUUAGUAACAUUUUUGUACUAUGGAAUUUGGUUAGUGCAAUGGAUUUUGGUUAAUUAGUAACACUAUCGUGUAUGAUGGAUUUUAACUAUGUACUUUUAGAUUUUUAUAAGUUAAUUUUAAUGUUACGUUGAUCAAA